rnacentral:rRNA from 1 species
CAAGUCGAGCGGAGAUGAGGUGCUUGCACCUUAUCUUAGCGGCGGACGGGUGAGUAAUGCUUAGGAAUCUGCCAUUUAGUGGGGGACAACAUUCCGAAAGGAAUGCUAAUACCGCAUACGUCCUACGGGAGAAAGCAGGGGAUCUUCGGACCUUGCGCUAAAUGAUGAGCCUAAGUCGGAUUAGCUAGUUGGUGGGGUAAAGGCCUACCAAGGCGACGAUCUGUAGCGGGUCUGAGAGGAUGAUCCGCCACACUGGGACUGAGACACGGCCCAGACUCCUACGGGAGGCAGCAGUGGGGAAUAUUGGACAAUGGGCGGAAGCCUGAUCCAGCCAUGCCGCGUGUGUGAAGAAGGCCUUUUGGUUGUAAAGCACUUUAAGCGAGGAGGAGGCUACUAGUACUAAUACUACUGGAUAGUGGACGUUACUCGCAGAAUAAGCACCGGCUAACUCUGUGCCAGCAGCCGCGGUAAUACAGAGGGUGCGAGCGUUAAUCGGAUUUACUGGGCGUAAAGCGUGCGUAGGCGGCUUUUUAAGUCGGAUGUGAAAUCCCCGAGCUUAACUUGGGAAUUGCAUUCGAUACUGGGAAGCUAGAGUAUGGGAGAGGAUGGUAGAAUUCCAGGUGUAGCGGUGAAAUGCGUAGACGAUCUGGAGGAAUACCGAUGGCGAAGGCAGCCAUCUGGCCUAAUACUGACGCUGAGGUACGAAAGCA